UAACAACUUUCAGCAGUGGAUGUCUAGGCUCGCACAUCGAUGAAGAACGCUGCGAACUGCGAUACGUAAUGCGAAUUGCAGGAUUCAGUGAGUCAUCGAAAUUUUGAACGCAUAUUGCACUUCCGG
rnacentral:rRNA from 1 species